rnacentral:rRNA from 1 species
CCAAUAGCGUAUAUUAAAGUUGUUGCAGUUAAAAAGCUCGUAGUUGAACCUCGGGAUCAAUGGAUCGGUCAUGCCAUCGGUAUGUACUGGUCUCAUUGGUUCUCACCUUCUAAGGAACCAUGAUGUCAUUCAGUUGAUGUUGUGGGGAAUUAGGACUGUUACCUUGAAAAAAUUAGAGUGUUUAAAGCAGGCUAACGCUUGAAUACAUUAGCAUGGAAUAAUGAAAUAGGACAUCGCAUUCUAUUUUGUUGGUUUCUAGGAUCGAUGUGAUGAUUAAUAGGGAUAGUUGGGGGCAUUAGUAUUCAAUUGUCAGAGGUGAAAUUCUUGGAUUUAUUGAAGACUAACUACUGCGAAAGCAUUUGCCAAGGAUGUUUUCAUUAAUCAAGAACGAAAGUUAGGGGAUCGAAGACGAUCAGAUACCGUCGUAGUCUUAACCAUAAACUAUGCCGACUAGGGAUCGGAUGAUGUUGAUUUUUUAAUGACUCAUUCGGCACCUUACG